GACAAUGUCAUUAGUGUGCUGUCUUUUUGAUUUUCAGUGAUAAGUUCUAUAUGGAAUUUUAUUCGUGUCUAUGAGAUUAUGUAUUAUUUCUCUAUCUGUUUCAUGAAGGUACUGCUUUGUAUGUUUUCUGAAUGAUAUCACUGAUGUUGAGUCCUUGAUUUUCCUAGGGAUAUUGUUAAAUAUUCGUGUACUAAGAUAAGUAUAUCCUCUCUGCCCAAUAGUUUUGGACGAAUAUUCAGUGCGCGCCAUGUUUUCUUCUUUUGCCCUGGUACUGUAGUUGUGAUCAAUAUUCCUUAGGCUACUUUUGUUUUUGUAUUGAUCCACCGCUACACGUAGGAAGUAGAUUUGUCUGAGGUCUAAUAUUUUACUCUCAGAAUAGAGCAAGGUCGAUGAAUACGUUCGAGGCCUAUUAAAACAGAUCUUCAGGAAUUUUUUCUGUAAAAUAUCCAGAUAAGCUAAGUAACUGCUGGCAACACCUCCCCAACCCAGGAUCCCAUACGACAAUCUAGACUCGACCAAUGCAUGGUACAGGAUUUUCAUUUGGUGAUUGAAAUCGGGGAGAUGAGAUGAGUAACAAGAAAAAGGUUUUUCCAGGAUGUGUCUUCAUAGAAUAUUGCCGUGUCAUCCGCAAAACUUAUGAUUUCUCCGUUGGUCUGUGAGGUGAAAGAAAUAUCGAUGAUUGUGUCCAAACUCUUCUCAGUGGUGGAAUUGCAGGUGCUUUAAUUUUAUCAGCAAAUUUCUUCCCUAGCAAUGUAUAAUGUUCAUUGAAUAAGUUAGCUAUUUCAACUCUAUCAGUGAUUGUUCUAUUUUCGUAUUGUACCCGGUUUACAGUAUUUUGUUUUUUUGCAGCUGAUAACUCCUUCACAGUAUUCCAAAUAAUUUUACUAUCACCUUUACUAAGGUCAAUUUGUUUUUUAUAAUAUGAGAUUUUAGCAUUUUUUAUCAAUGUAUUAACUGUAUUUCGGUAUCUCAAAUAUUCGUUUUUUAGGAUGUCAUCAUUUUUGUUCAUUUUGUACUGUUGGAAAAGCUCGUUUCUGUGAUUUAUACUCUUGAUUAAACCUUUUGUUAUGCAG